AUAGGUCAGAAGUGGAAGUAUAGUGAUAUAUGGAGCGGACUGAUACUAAUCGAUCGAGGACUUAACCAAA
rnacentral:rRNA from 1 species